rfam:Candidatus Falkowbacteria bacterium RIFCSPLOWO2_02_FTLL_45_21 rifcsplowo2_02_scaffold_6313, whole genome shotgun sequence.
GGGGAUGCCAGGUAUCGAUAAUAACAUUUUCUUAACAGCUUUCAGAAGUGAAUCACAGCCGCCACUUAAAUCGCGCUGUAACUAAAAUAAGUGUCAAAAACUUAUUAAGCAAAGCGACCUUCUCUUGGAGAAUGCCGACCUUUGCUCCUGUUGCCGCUUAAUAAGCCGCAACCAUCCGCUCGGCUUAUGUCUAUACGCCGGUAACGGGUGUUAAUUUAUAGGCUCGGAUAGUCGGUUGCUUUAGCCGGUUAUCUUAAAAAAUUAAAGCUGGUCGCGGUCGAUUUUAGUUCGGUUUUUACGGCCGCAACGAGACAACAAACCGGUCUAAUCUGUAAACAGGCUUUAAGAAGUUUAUUAGACAGGGGUUCAAUUCCCCUCAUCUCCACCA